UACGAAGGGGGCUAGCGUUGUUCGGAUUUACUGGGCGUAAAGCGCACGUAGGCGGAUCUUUAAGUCAGAGGUGAAAUCCCAAGGCUCAACCUUGGAACUGCCUUUGAUACUGGAGAUCUUGAGUCCGGGAGAGGUGAGUGGAACUGCGAGUGUAGAGGUGAAAUUCGUAGAUAUUCGCAAGAACACCAGUGGCGAAGGCGGCUCACUGGCCCGGUACUGACGCUGAGACGCGAAAGCGUGGGGAGCAAACAGG
rnacentral:rRNA from 1 species